AAGGUACAAACCAGAAACACCUGGAGGAGCAUUGGGCAGCUAAUCAGGUUAACUGGCAGCAGAACAAUGUUCAUCAGACUGAAGAUCCUCAAUCUACAGUGUAGAAUAUCAUCAGAAGAUUCAGAGAAUCAAGAGGAAUCUCUGUAUCCUGGGGACAAGGCUGAAGACGUCUCUUUCAGGGAAGGCCUUACAGAUUUC